AGAGUUUGAUCUGGCUCAGGGACGAACGCUGGCGGUGCGCAUUAUGCAUGCAAGUCGAGCGAAGCUUUUCAGUAGUUUACUACAGAAAAUGACUGAGCGGCGAACGGGUGAGUAACGCGUGAGCAAUCUACGUUAGUUACAGGGAUAGCCCGAGGAAACUCGGAUUAAUACCUGAUAUUCUUUAUUUCUCGCAUGAGAAUAAAAGGAAAGGUCAGCCGAACUAAGAUGAGCUCGCGUUCUAUCAGCUAGUUGGUGAGGUAAAAGCUUACCAAGGCUACGACGGAUAGCUGGUCUGAGAGGACGAUCAGCCACACUGGGACUGAGACACGGCCCAGACUCCUACGGGAGGCUGCAGCAGGGAAUAUUGUGCAAUGAACGAAAGUUUGACACAGCGACACCGCGUGUGGGAUGACGGAUCUAGGUUUGUAAACCACUUUCAGGAGGGAAGAAAAUGACGGUACCUCCACAAGAAGCCCCGGCCAACUACGUGCCAGCAGCCGCGGUAAUACGUAGGGGGCGAGCGUUGUCCGGAUUUAUUGGGCGUAAAGAGCUCGUAGGCGGUUCAACAAGUCGGUCGUGAAAGUUCAGGGCUCAACCCUGAAAUGUCGAUCGAUACUGUUGUGACUAGGAUACGGUAGAGGUGAGUGGAAUUCCGAGUGUAGCGGUGAAAUGCGUAGAUAUUCGGAGGAACACCAAUUGCGAAGGCAGCUCACUGGACCGCUAUCGACGCUGAGGAGCGAAAGCUAGGGGAGCAAACAGGAUUAGAUACCCUGGUAGUCCUAGCUGUAAACGAUGGAUACUAGACGUAGGAACUGGAUUGACGGUUUCUGUGUCGUAGCUAACGCGUUAAGUAUCCCGCCUGGGGAGUACGGUCGCAAGACUAAAACUCAAAGGAAUUGACGG
rnacentral:rRNA from 1 species